UACGGGGGGGAGCAAGCGUUGUUCGGAUUUACUGGGCGUAAAGGGCGCGUAGGCGGUCGUGACAAGUCACUUGUGAAAUCUCCGGGCUUAACUCGGAACGGUCAAGUGAUACUGUCGGACUAGAGUACAGAAGGGGCAACUGGAAUUCUCGGUGUAGCGGUGAAAUGCGUAGAUAUCGAGAGGAACACCUGCGGCGAAGGCGGGUUGCUGGGCUGAUACUGACGCUGAGGCGCGAAAGCGUGGGGAGCGAACAGG
rnacentral:rRNA from 1 species